GCAUUGGUGGCCCAGUGGUAGAGCUCCCGUCUGCCACGCCGGCGCCCCGGGUUCAUAUCCCAUCCAAUGCC
rnacentral:tRNA from 1 species